rnacentral:rRNA from 1 species
CGUUGACACUCCUACGGGAGGCAGCAGUGGGGAAUAUUGCACAAUGGGCGCAAGCCUGAUGCAGCCAUGCCGCGUGUAUGAAGAAGGCCUUCGGGUUGUAAAGUACUUUCAGCAGUGAGGAAGGCGGGUACGUUAAUAGCGUGCUUGUUUGACGUUAGCUGCAGAAGAAGCACCGGCUAACUCCGUGCCAGCAGCCGCGGUAAUACGGAGGGUGCGAGCGUUAAUCGGAAUUACUGGGCGUAAAGCGCAUGCAGGUGGUUUGUUAAGUCAGAUGUGAAAGCCCGGGGCUCAACCUCGGAAUUGCAUUUGAAACUGGCAGACUAGAGUACUGUAGAGGGGGUAGAAUUUCAGGUGUAGCGGUGAAAUGCGUAGAGAUCUGAAGGAAUACCGGUGGCGAAGGCGGCCCCCUGGACAGAUACUGACACUCAGAUGCGAAAGCGUGGGGAGCAAACAGGAUUAGAUACCCUGGUAG